AGACCUAUCAGAGUUUGAUCCUGGCUCAGAACGAACGCUGGCGGCAAGCUUAACACAUGCAAGUCGAACGGACCGUAUACGCAGCUUGCUGCGUGUAUGGUUAGUGGCAGACGGGUGAGUAAUGCAUAGGAAUCUACCUAGUAGUAUGGGAUAGCCACUAGAAAUGGUGGGUAAUACUGUAUAAUCCCUGCGGGGGAAAGAUUUAUCGCUAUUAGAUGAGCCUAUGUCAGAUUAGCUAGUUGGUGGGGUAAUGGCCUACCAAGGCGGUGAUCUGUAGCUGGUCUGAGAGGAUGAUCAGCCACACUGGAACUGAGACACGGUCCAGACUCCUACGGGAGGCAGCAGUGGGGAAUAUUGGACAAUGGGCGCAAGCCUGAUCCAGCUAU
rnacentral:rRNA from 1 species